rnacentral:rRNA from 1 species
UACGUAGGGUGCGAGCGUUGUCCGGAAUUAUUGGGCGUAAAGAGCUUGUAGGCGGUUUGUCGCGUCUGCUGUGAAAUUUCGGGGCUCAACCCCGAACUUGCAGUGGGUACGGGCAGACUAGAGUGUGGUAGGGGAGACUGGAAUUCCUGGUGUAGCGGUGAAAUGCGCAGAUAUCAGGAGGAACACCGAUGGCGAAGGCAGGUCUCUGGGCAUUAACUGACGCUGAGGAGCGAAAGCAUGGGGAGCAAACAGG